UCUCUUGCCUUUCUUCCUAAACCCUAUGAAUCUUCCUAAGCCUUCUACCGUCCUCCAUUUUCAGCUCUAUUUUCAAUUCGAUUUUUCUUCAUCGUCUACAAAAUCACGGAAGGAUACAUCUGAAAUCGCAGACGAUGAGGUGAAUGUUUCCUCCAUUGAAGUUACGAAGCCCUAAUCAAACGUCGCAAAGCUUGACUGACACUUCACAACGACGGUGAAGCACGACUUAGUUCGGUUCCGAUUGAAGUUCCUUAUCGCCGUUCUAGGGUGCAUUGUCAAGAAAGUGGUGAAGAAAGUUCUGAGAGUGAAUCGAUUUAUGCUGCACUCAAAUGCCACAUAUCUCACGAGGUGAACCAUUUGCACGAAGGGCUAAAAUAUAUUAUCAACCAAAAUGGAUAGACAGGCUAAAAGACGAUAAGAAUUAAGCAAUAUUGAAAAUACUAAAUCAGACCUGGCCGAAGAAAUGUAUGAAAUUACGGAUAGAAAGGCAAAAGUGGCUACAAAGAAGAAAGCCCCAAUAGCAAAACGUCCCAAAAUGGUAAUAUCUCCCAAACAACAUACACAACCACCCAGACAACCCCAAGCCACAAAACCAUCACCGACCAAAAAACCACCACCUGCCACAAAACCACCACCGACCACAAAACCACCACUGACCACAAAACCACCACUGACCACAAAACCACCACCGACCACAAAACCACCACCGACCACAAAACCCUCGACAACUCAAAGCAAAAUAAAUUUACCAAAGAAAAGGCCUAGUCCAUCCAAAGAAGCUUCAACAUAGUUUGGAAUUUUUCUCUUCUGAAGCUGUCCAAGUUGAAGCUAACUCAACAAAAUUGGUCAAUACACGUGCCCUUAUUCUGGAAAAUACUGAAUCAACUUAACACCAAUCUAAUAUAGAAAGGGAAGAAGAUGAUGGCAAUUCAAUGGAAGAAUGAGACUUACAAAAUCUUAGCCAGUCAACAAAGACAUACCUUGAAAUAGUUGGAGAGAAAUUUUACCCGAAUAUCUUGAAAAACAUACAUUGAAUCAUCACAGGCUAUUGGAGGGGGCCAUACGUGAACUGGAAUCAAGUUCCAGAAGAUAUUAAGACUAUGUGGUGGGAACAAUUCAUAGUAAAUUUAAUUGUAUAAACUAUAAUUAAUUUUCAGUAGCAAGUAUUUGUCCUUGUACAACUUUGUUUAAAUUUCUAUGUCCAUUUAUAGGAGUCAUUUAAGUGGGAUCCUACUAAUGUGGGGGAUGUGAAUAAAUUAUUCAAAAAGAAGGCUAGUGCAAAAAUCAGAAAUUUUAUGAAUAGGGCCAAAAAAUCUUUGAAGAAGCCCUCACACAUUACUUUAGAACAUUGGACUAAGAUGAGGAAAAUUUUUGUUGAACCUAAGUAUUCGCAGAAGUGCACGAUGGUGCAACAUAUUGUGGAGGUUCUAUCCCGGCUAUUGAGCACCAAAGAAGAUUGACCGAGGAACUAGGAAGCCCACAACCAUUUAUGAGACAUUUGAAAAGACCAUUUAAAAAGAAAGAUGGAACAUGGAAUGGGAAAAGGGCAGUAGAAGUUAUGAAUUAUUUCACUCAGCUCAAUCAAACUCAGGAAUCUAUGGAUAUGAAUGAGAAAAAAUUGGAAAUGGAGUUGUGAAUGGAGGCAUCGGGGAAAUCCAAGAGUGGCCGUGUAUUUGGAAUAGGAUACAUGGGUAGGAAACAAGUAUUUCAGAAUGGCCAGUUCAGUACACAACUAAGUUUAGAGGUAAAUACCCUAAAAAAGCGGUAAGUACUUUGCAAAUGCAAAAUUCAGAGAAAGAUAAAGAGAAUGAAAUUCAUAAAGAAGAAUAUACACAACAACAAGAGAUAAUUAAACUGUUAGAAUCCAGUCAAGUUGAAUUGGUUCAGGACAAAGUUCAUCUUCAAAAUGAAAUAAAGUCUUUAAAUGAAAAAAUGGAUGAAUUCAUUAGAUUAUGGAAAGCAUCGGGUCAACAAACGAGCCAAAACAUUACAACUCCGGAGGGAUUAUAAAGAAGGUUAGUGAUUUCAAUCUUGUAUUUAGUUUAUAUGCUUCAUUUAUAAAUGCAAGGUAAAUGCUAUUGAGUGGAGUUAUAAUAUGAAUGUAUGAAGUAUGUUGUAUUAUUAGUUUGAUUAUUUAUGCUAAUAGGUAGUUAUAAUUAGAUAAAUAAAUAGAUAGUUGAGAAAAAUAAUAUAGACAUUUUGUCAAAUCAUGUUUAAUCCUGAAUAUUUUGAACAUGUUUAUUUGUAAAAUACCUAGGCUUUGAAGUUGUUUAAUUUGUAUAAUAUAAAAAAAUUGGAUUUUUUGUCUAAUGCUAUUGGAGAAUGCUCUAUUGGUGGGAUUGGUCUUUUGGCUUUAAAUGUUGUAAGAAAAUCAUUAUAUUUGAUAUGUUCAAUAAAUGAAUUAGUUACAAAAUCUAAUUAGUUAAUUAUUUUGUUAAAUGUACACAGGUUUGUCUAUUGGAAGUAUAUUUGGCAAUGGAUGGGGUGACCAAUGAUGGGGUCCAACAUAAUGGAAGUAUA